GUCCACGCCGUAAACGUUGGGCACUAGGUGUGGGACUCUAUCGACGGGUUCCGUGCCGUAGCUAACGCAUUAAGUGCCCCGCCUGGGGAGUACGGCCGCAAGGCUAAAACUCAAAGGAAUUGACGGGGCCCGCACAAGCGGCGGAGCGUGUGGCUCAAUUCGAUGCAACGCGAAGAACCUUACCUGGGCUUGACAUUCACGGUAAAGCGGGUGAAAGCCCGUGUGCUUCGGCGCCGUGAACAGGUGGUGCAUGGCUGUCGU
rnacentral:rRNA from 1 species